GGCCGUUAGUGCGUCUGUGGGCGCUGAUAGAGAAAUGUGCAGUUAGUGAAAUGCAUCAUGGCCACUGCAUCAUGUCUAGAUCCAGAGCUGGUGCGGGAGGUUCUGGAAUGCCCCAUCUGCCUGGAGACCUAUAACCAGGACCAGCUGCGGCCCAAGCUGCUCCAGUGCGGGCACUCCGUGUGCCGACAAUGCCUGGAGAAACUCCUGGCCAGCACCAUCAACGGUGUGCGAUGCCCGUUCUGCAGCAAGGUGUCCCGCAUGAGCAGCAUCUCCCAGCUGCCCGACAAUCUCACCGUGCUGAAGAUCAUCGACUGCGCGAGCUCGUGCAGCUCGGCGGCGGGUCUCAUGUGCAAGUCCUGCAAGAACCGGCUGCCGCGGCAGUACUGCUGCGACUGUUCCGUCGUGCUGUGCAACGCCUGCCAGACGGAGAACCAUCAGCACCAGGGCCACAUCGUACAAACCAUCCGCGCCGCAGCCGACCAGCGCAGGAAAGACCUGGGGGGGAAGCUGGCCAGUCUCAGAGAUGCCAUGACUACUAUUCAGAAGAAAAAAGGAGCCAUUGAUAACAUUUCGAAAUCCCUACGCUCGAAAUAUAAAGCCGUGCAACAGGAAUACACUAAAGCCGAGCUGCAGCUUCAGGAGGAGCUCGGCCGAUCGCGCCGCGCCUUCGCCGCCUCACUCGCCGAGGUCGAAAAGUUCAACUCUCAGAUUCUUGAGGAGCAGACGUACUUGUUGAACAUUGCCGAGGUGCAGGUCAUAUCCAGAUGCGACUACCUGACCAUGAGGAUCAAGCAAACGGAUACGGCUCUGUUGGAAGAGGCGGGCGUAAACGACGAAGAGGACCUAGACGUCGGAAGCAGUCUGCCUCUUCUUUUAAAGCUGCAGGACCCUGAAUUGGUCAAACCGGAGAAUCCACCGUGCUUAGAAGUUGGCCAGUUGACAAUCAAGCCUUGUACUGUUAACACAGAUAAAGACGACGGUGAAGAUUUGGGUGCCGUUGAGGGCGCAGCCGCUCCCGUCGACCUGUAUCGUGACGUAGAAAUGGCCAGUACUGUAGAAGAAACCGUCUCCGCCUCGCCGGGUAGCUUCAAGUCCAAAUCUGUAGACGGCGGAGGGCCCGCGACUGGGGGAGCCACUGGAGGUCCAGUCUGCCAGUUUGUUAAAAAGAUGGGGUGCAAAGGAAACCUCCCAGGCAUGUUCAACCUGCCAGUGAGCAUCUGCGUGACUCAACACGGCGACGUCCUAGUAGCCGACCGCGGAAACUACCGGAUCCAGAUCUUUAACCGCAAGGGCUUUCAGCGAGAGAUCCGACACAACCCGAGCAGCAUAGACAACUUCGUCUCUAGCUUCCUAGGUGCCGACCUGCCCAAUCUCAUCCCUCUGUCGAUAGCCAUCACGCCUCAGGGUCUCGUAGGCGUCACUGACAACUUCGACAACUCCGUCAAGGUCUACACCACCGAUGGGCACUGCGUCGCUUGCCACAAGCAUCAGCUCGUUAAACCAUGGGGAAUCGCAGCCAUGCCUUCCGGGCAGUUCGUUGUCUCGGAUGUCGAAGGGGGCAAGCUCUGGUGCCUGGCUGUGGACCGCAACGUCGGCGUGGUGAACUACAGCAGACUCUGUUCUGCGGUCAGGCCCAAAUUCGUGACCUGCGACUCCUCUGGGACGGUCUACUUCACCCAGGGACUGGGUCUAAAUAUCGAAAACAGGCACAACGAACACCACCUAGAAGGUGGGUUCUCAAUCGGAUCGGUCAGCACAGACGGUCAGCUCGGGAAACAGCUCAGCCACUUCUUCUCCGAGACCGAGGAUUUCCGGUGCAUCACCGGGAUGUGCGUGGACGCCAACGGGGAUCUCCUGGUGACCGACAGCGGACGGAAGGAAAUCCUGCAGUUCCCCAAGGAAGGCGGAUACAACAUCUUGAUCCAGGAGGGUCUAACUUGCCCCGUGGGUGUAGCAGUGACACAUAAAGGGCAGCUACUGGUUCUAGACUGCUGGGACCAUUGUGUGAAGGUUUAUACCUACCUGCAGAAGCGGCGCUCUUCCACUUGUUAGGACUGGUAUAACCAGCCACACAGGACUCGUAGAUGCUCGUUUCGACUCGUCACUUUAUCCGCUGGGCUACGUUGAAUAAAAUAUCGUUGGCCUUCGGAGUUUCUGAAUGCUGAACUGGAAGGGGCGGACGACUCCGGACAGUCGGUUGGAAUCUUUCACCGCUGUCGGGAAGAGACUGGGAGACGGGACUGGAGGACGGUCGCUGCUGUAGCUGCUUUGGUCAUUGGACAUUUUGAAGUACGAUAUAACAGAAGGCAAUAAUCGUCCAGCGUUGUCUUUGAGCAGGGUCGUAGUGUCUGUUCAGCGUACCACCUGCUAAGCUGGCAUUAAAUUAAAGGACUAUUACCUCAGAGAAGUGGACUUAAUCAUUAUAAUCUGCAGAAAUAUUACAAAGAAAGCAACCUGUCUAUAAACAAGCAGAUCUUGUAUUUGUACGCAUAAAGUGAACCUGUUUAUCCUCAUCGUAAUAACGUCACUCUGUUGCAUAUGCUUUUUAUAUUACCCAAGAUUCUUUACCGUCAAGGUUCCCGCUUCGUACUCCUGAACUCGGACAACUGCAGAGCUGCUGCUGGGUUUUCUUGCUGGGGAAGUAGAUGUUGCAGGUGAGUUCAGAGCCGUACAGAGCUUCAGAGAUGUAAUGGCUGCCGUACUGCUGGAUAAAGGAGAGGAGCUCGUCUCUGGUACUGUCCACCGUCAGGGAUUUCAGCACCUUCGAGAAACCUGAGACACAACGGAAUCGUUAAGCUGCUACUGCUUCAGUGUGAACAAACGAUGCUGGGCAAGCAUUAAAUAAAAGAUUAA